GACGAACGCUGGCGGCGUGCUUAACACAUGCAAGUCGAACGGAAAGGCCCUGCUUGCAGGGUGCUCGAGUGGCGAACGGGUGAGUAACACGUGGGUGAUCUGCCCCUUACUUUGGGAUAAGCCUGGGAAACUGGGUCUAUUACUGGAUAGGACCAUGCUUUCGGCGGUGUGGUGGAUAGAUUAGUUUCGGUAAGGGAUGAGCUCGCGGCCGAUCAGCUUGUUGGUGGGGGAAUGGCCUACCAAGGCGUCGACGGGUAGCCGGCCGGCGAGGGGGGACGGCCACAUUGGGAGGGAGAUGCGGCGCAGACUCCUACGGGAGGCAGCAGUGGGGAGGAUUGCACAAUGGGGGCAGGCCUGAUGCAGCGACGCCGCGGGGGGGGUGACGGCCUUCGGGUUGUAGACUCCUUUCAGCCAUGACGAAGCCCUUGUGGUGACGGUAGUGGUAGAAGAAGCACCGGCUAACUACGUG
rnacentral:rRNA from 1 species